AUGUCGUUUAACUCAAAACUGAGUCGUUUUACUUCCCAGGUAUGUUAAUUGAAGCAACAAGCCAAAACCCCAGAAAGAAAAGUGGAACUGGAAAUUGGAAAAAUGUCUCCUCCUCCCAAAGUUCUCAUGGUUGCGGAGAAGCCUAGCAUCGCUCUCUCCAUUGCUUCUGUACUCUCUCAUGGCCAAAUGACGACAAGGAGGGGCAGUACAGAUGUCCAUGAGUUCAAUGGCCUUUUCUUGGCUUUCAUGCUCAU